rnacentral:rRNA from 1 species
CCUGGUGCCUAUGGCGGUGUGGAACCACUCCGACCCUUCCCGAACUCGGUCGUGAAACGCACCUGCGGCGAAGAUACUUUGGGGGUCGCCCCAUGGGAAAUUAGCUCGGUGCCAGGU